GCAGUCGUGGCCGGGUGGUUAAGGCGAUGGACUAGAAAUCCAUUGGGGUCCCUCGCAUAGGUUAGAAUCCUGUCGACUCCG
rnacentral:tRNA from 2 species